UACAUGGGGUGCAAACGUUGCUCGGAAUUAUUGGGCGUAAAGCGCACGUAGGCGGAUCGUUAAGUCGGGGGUGAAAUCCUGGAGCUCAACUCCAGAACUGCCUUCGAUACUGGCGAUCUUGAGUCCGGAAGAGGUGAGUGGAACUCCUAGUGUAGAGGUGGAAUUCGUAGAGAUCAGGAGGAACACCCGUGGCGAAGGCGGCCUUCUGGGUCCGCCCUGACGCUGAGGCGCGAAAGCGUGGGGAGCGAACGGG
rnacentral:rRNA from 1 species